rnacentral:misc_RNA from 1 species
AGCAGCCGCGGUAAUUCCAGCUCCAAUAGCGUAUAUUAAAGUUGUUGCAGUUAAAAAGCUCGUAGUUGAAUUUCGGGAUCAAUUUGCUGGUCGUGCCUCUGGUACGUACUGGUAUUAUUGGUUUCUCCCUUCUGACGAACCAUGAUGUCAUUAAUUUGAUGUCGUGGAGAAUCAGGACUGUUACUUUGAAAAAAUUAGAGUGUUUAAAGCAGGCAUUAGCUUGAAUACAUUAGCAUGGAAUAAUGAAAUAGGACGUUUGAUCCUAUUUUGUUGGUUUCUAGGAUUGACGUGAUGAUUAAUAGGGAUAGUUGGGGGGUCAUUAGUAUUCAAUUGUCAGAGGUGAAAUUCUUGAUUUAUUGAAGACUAACUACUGCGAAAGCAUUUUGCCAAGGAUGUUUUCAUUAAUCAAGAACGAAAGUUAGGGGAUCGAAGACGAUCAGAUACCGUCGUAGUCUUAACCAUAAACUAUGCCGACUAGGGAUCGGAUGAUGUUAAUUUUUUCAAUGACUCAUUCGGCGCC